CAGAAAUGUAUUGGUCAGUGUUUUUAGCAGAUGGCUGCAGUUUCACUCACACUAGCAGAAAUAAUAGAGAUAAGAAGCGAGGUAGUUAGUUUACAGGCAUCUAAUCCAAGGUCGCAAAGACUGGGAAAGUUUUCUCACAAGCUUAUGUAGAGCUUAUUGUAACAGUUGUCUGGAAGGGAGGGGUAAGGGGGAACAGCCAGACAAAGAGAUGUAUGCAAACAGUUUGAAGUAUAAAAGCACACCGGGCGACAAACCCCCUGUUUGCCAUCUCGGGGCCCAGUUCUGGGUCAGGCAACAGUUUUGGCACCCAACGUGGAGCUCGAGGCUGAAAUUUAGCCUUGCCCGGAUCCCUCCUGGUGGCCGACGGAUUACGACGACGACCGACGCCCAGAGCGCUCACCGAUGACUUCAUCAGGGGCCUCAGCAGAGACGUGGUUUGCUCGACCCCGGAGGGCACAACGGUGCAACGCACACAGACAGUGGAGAAGCAGCUGCGGGCGACGGUGGGGAACCGGUCCCGUUGAUAGGGCGACGGUGAUGGUGCAGAACCGGACCCUUGGAUAAGGUAGGAACAGUCCAGUGGGGACUUAUCUGUCUUGACCUGGGGACGCCCAGUGUCUGCCUGUUGUGACCUGGGGACGCCCAGAGUCUCCCUUGGUAUGGGGCAGGGACAGAGUACAGCCGGCAGGGUACAGUGUACACCUUUAGAAUGCAUUCUGGUGAACUGGAAGGUGUUUGGAUCUGAUCAGUUGAUUAAAAGUAAAUUGAAAAGGUUCUGUACAGUUGAUUGGCCUCAGUACCAGCUAGAGUGCCAAGAAAGGUGGCCACCGGAAGGACACUUAAUUACAACACGAUCCUUCAAUUGCUUUUGUUCUGUCAGAGAACAGGUAAAUGGAAUGAACAUCUCUAUGUGUAUACGUUUAUGGUGUUAAGAAAUAGGACUGAUAUUUUGCUCAAGUGCCAUUUGACUCUGACAGGCUCGGUAGUAACGGCUGCUAAACCCCAGAACCCUCCCACUGUUGUAAUGCCAGAAUUGGUGUCCCCUUCGGCUCCGCCACCCCCACAGGCUCCAGAGAGAACCCCCCCCCCGUGGGAUUGUAUCCGUUGAUUACGGAGAGUGUGGUAGCCCGUCCAGGAACUCAGGAAUGGCCAGUUCACAUAGUGUCUGUAUAUUCGCAUGUUGCUUUUAACCCUGUACAUCUGGCUGCUUUUAAGGCAGAGGCAGGAGAAUUUUCAACGAAUCCAAGCAAGUUCAUUUCUAUCUUUGAAGGGUGUCUAGCUAGCCAUAAACCUGACUGGGAUGGUUGCAAUAUACUUAUGAGAACCCUGUUGUCUGAAGUGGAGCGGAAUCAGGUUAUAGCUAAGGCUAGGGAUGAAGACUGGGAAGGCAUUUAAGGUUUAAAAGGGAAAGCUAUUGGAUACCAGAGGUUGUACAGAGUGGAAUCCUCAGAAGUGAGUGUGCUCGUCCUGGUUUGUUGCUUCAAAGCUCUGUACAGAAGUUAUGUUACUGAAAGGAUGUAUAAUGGCAAUGAGUAUGUGUUAAUGGUUGGAGAAAAGGUAUAUGAGUGAAGAGUGGAAGGUUCCUUUGGAAGUUAGAAGAAGCCGAGAAAGGGAGAAGGAAAAGCACAGAAUGAGUUAACUGAGAGGAAAAUACAGCUAGCAGGUUUAAUCCAAGGACAUUGUACGCAGCUAAGCCUUUGCUGACAAUCAAGAGAAAGGGGGGCCUGAAUGUGCCCAAGCAACUGUGAGAUCUGCAAAAUACUGCAAGGCAUAAUGAGGACAACAGAAGAGUUAAGAAGCAGUUUUGCUGGACAGUAUUGGCCCAGGGAUUUAAAAUUCCCCCACUCUGUUCAGACAGGCUUUGGCCAGAGACUUGGAGGAGUGGGAUAAUUCAGACAGAGCCCUCCUGCUGCAAUAUGUAGAUGACUUGUUAAUUGCUGCUGUGGGUCUAAUCCCUUGUCUUAGAGCUACUGUGAGUCUCCUAAACUUUAUUGGACUGCGAGGAUACAGAGUAUCUCAAAGCAAAGCCCAAUUUGCUCUUUCAGAGGUUCAAUAUCUGGGAUUUCACAUCAGGCAGGGAGAGAGACAGCUCUCAAACGAAAGGAAGGAGGCUAUCUGCCAAGUUCCCAUCCCCAGCAACUGUAAACGGCUUAGGGCAUUCCUGGGCAUGGCAGGUUUUUGCAGAAUAUGGGUUCCAGAGUUUGGACUGUGGGCUAAACCUCUGUAUGAAUGUGUUAAGGGAGCGGAACAUGACCCCUUUCACUGGUCCCCAGAAGCGGACAGGGCAUUUAAAAUCUUGAAAAGGAAGCUAAUGGAAGCUCCAACCCUGGGUUUGCCCGAUAUAUCUAAGCCGUUCCAACUGUAUGUGCAUGAACGAAAAGGGGUAGCUUUGGGAAUGCUUACCCAGCUAUUAGGUGCCUGGAAACGUCCCGUGGCAUACUUUUCUAAACAACUGGAUCAAGUUUCAAAGGGAUGGCCAGCCUGUUUGAGGGCGGUCGCAGCUACUGCUCUAGUGCUUGGGGAAGCUGAAAAGCUGACACUGGGAGGAACUGUGCAAGUGUAUGUUCCCCAUAUGGUCCGAGCCUUGCUGGACACUAAGGGUGGUCUUUGGCUCACACAGGCUCGGGUUGCUCGGUACCAGGCGAAGCUGUUAGAGAAUCCUGAAGUCACCCUGCAGACCUGUCCCUCCCUUAAUCCAGCUACACUGCUACCAGAGACAGAAAAGCAGGAACAUGACUGUUUAGAAAUCAUAGAUGUUCAGUAUUCUAGCUGCCCAGAUCUAAAAGAUCAGCCACUCCCAAAUGCUGACUUGGAAUGGUAUACAGAUGGAAGUAGUACUGUUGUGGAUGGGCAAAGGAGGGCUGGUUAUGCUAUUGUGUCUCUUCAUGAUACCGUGAGUACCAUGAUACUGAGAGUUUACCAGCAGGAACACCUGCCCAGCGUGCUGAACUAGCGGCCGUGACUCGUGCACUCGAGCUGGCAAAAGACAAACGGGUUAAUAUCUUUACUGACUCAAAGUAUGCUUUUGGGGUAUUGCAUGCUCACGCUGGUUUGUGGAAGCAAAGGGGAACGCUAACAGCCCAAGAUUCUCCGGUUAAGCAUGGGUCUCAAAUUCUCUGGCUGUUAGAAGCGGUACAACUCCCCGCAGCAGUAGCAGUGGUGCAUUGCAAAGCCCAUCAAAGGGAAGAUCAAGAUGUAACCAAGGGUAAUGCCAGAGCAGACAGGGAAGCUAAGCGAGCUGCUACCCUGAAAUCACCAACAGAGGAGAAUGCCCAAAUGCAUGCCCUCAUCCCAUCAGUGGGUGAGCUUGCAGCCCCUCAGUACUCCCAAGAGGACAGAAACCUGGCUGACAGUCUUGGUCUCCAGGAAAAGGAGGGAUGGCUUUAUUCCACAGAGG